CCUACGGGAGGCUGCAGUGAGGAAUAUUGGUCAAUGGACGAGAGUCUGAACCAGCCAAGUAGCGUGAAGGAUGACUGCCCUAUGGGUUGUAAACUUCUUUUAUAUGGGAAUAAAAUGUUCCACGUGUGGGAUUUUGUAUGUACCAUAUGAAUAAGGAUCGGCUAACUCCGUGCCAGCAGCCGCGGUAAUACGGAGGAUCCGAGCGUUAUCCGGAUUUAUUGGGUUUAAAGGGAGCGUAGGUGGAUUGUUAAGUCAGUUGUGAAAGUUUGCGGCUCAACCGUAAAAUUGCAGUUGAAACUGGCAGUCUUGAGUACAGUGGAGGUGGGCGGAAUUCGUGGUGUAGCGGUGAAAUGCUUAGAUAUCACGAAGAACUCCGAUUGCGAAGGCAGUUCACUGGACUGCAACUGACACUGAGGCUCGAAAGUGUGGGUAUCAAACAGGAUUAGAUACCCGUGUAGUC
rnacentral:rRNA from 1 species